rnacentral:snRNA from 1 species
GGGCGGGUCAUUUCCCGUCGAAA